GAUGAACGCUGGCGGCGUGCCUAAUACAUGCAAGUCGAGCGAACAGACGAGGAGCUUGCUCCUCUGACGUUAGCGGCGGACGGGUGAGUAACACGUGGAUAACCUACCUAUAAGACUGGGAUAACUUCGGGAAACCGGAGCUAAUACCGGAUAAUAUAUUGAACCGCAUGGUUCAAUAGUGAAAGACGGUUUUGCUGUCACUUAUAGAUGGAUCGGCGCCUCAUUAGCUAGUUGGUAAUGUAACGGCUUACCAAGGCAACGAUGCGUAGCCGACAUGAGAGGUGGACCGGCGACAAGGGUACUGAGGGACGCACCAGACGGCAACCGGAGGCAACAGGGGAGAGUAUGGCGCAGCAAGCGCACGUGUGAUGUGGAAGCGUUCCGAGCGUAAAACCCUGUUACUAGGGAAGAACAAAUGUGUAAGUAAAUAUGCCCGUAUUGACGGUAACUAAUCAGAAAGCACCGGCUAACUACGUG
rnacentral:rRNA from 1 species